rnacentral:rRNA from 1 species
UAGGGAAUAUUGGACAAUGGGCGAAAGCCUGAUCCAGCCAUGCCGCGUGUGUGAAGAAGGUCUUCGGAUUGUAAAGCACUUUAAGUUGGGAGGAAGGGCAGUUACCUAAUACGUGAUUGUUUUGACGUUACCGACAGAAUAAGCACCGGCUAACUCUGUGCCAGCAGCCGCGGUAAUACAGAGGGUGCAAGCGUUAAUCGGAAUUACUGGGCGUAAAGCGCGCGUAGGUGGUUAGUUAAGUUGGAUGUGAAAUCCCCGGGCUCAACCUGGGAACUGCAUUCAAAACUGACUGACUAGAGUAUGGUAGAGGGUGGUGGAAUUUCCUGUGUAGCGGUGAAAUGCGUAGAUAUAGGAAGGAACACCAGUGGCGAAGGCGACCACCUGG